rnacentral:rRNA from 1 species
UACGGGAGGCAGCAGUGGGGAAUAUUGCACAAUGGGCGCAAGCCUGAUGCAGCCAUGCCGCGUGUAUGAAGAAGGCCUUCGGGUUGUAAAGUACUUUCAGUCGUGAGGAAGGUGUUAAGGUUAAUAACCUUAGCAAUUGACGUUAGCGACAGAAGAAGCACCGGCUAACUCCGUGCCAGCAGCCGCGGUAAUACGGAGGGUGCGAGCGUUAAUCGGAAUUACUGGGCGUAAAGGGCACGCAGGCGGUUAAUUAAGUUGGAUGUGAAAUCCCCGGGCUUAACCUGGGAAUGGCAUUCAAGACUGGUUAGCUAGAGUCUUGUAGAGGGGGUAGAAUUCCGAUGUGUAGCGGUGAAAUGCGUAGAGAUGUGGAGGAAUACCGGUGGCGAAGGCGGCCCCUGGACAAAGACUGACGCUCAUGGUGCGAAAGCGUGGGGAGCAAAC